CAGGAGAGAAGGCCUUGCUGGCCCCGAAGGCACACCACUGCAUGGGACAAUUCAACAAACUAGUGGAAUCCAAUCCAGAUUCACAAACGGCACUUUCCAAGUACUUCGAGGAAAAAAGCCAAGAUGCAAAGGAAAGAACUCCCUGUUCCUUGAAGCGCUGCCACGUAUCAGAGCUGGACGUGGGUGCCUUUCAGACACUUUGACGGAAAUGGAGUCUGCCGCCAACUCCAUGUUGAAGGGCCCCUCCAACUUCUCUGCAACCUGGUAGAGGGCGUCUGAUGGGAGACAGAGCAGGUCGGCCUGGUUAGCCAAGCAGCCUUUCAUCACGUUCAGGCACAAGGCACGGCAUGGACGCAGCGAGGGCAUUCCUCGACAAAGCGGGCAGUACCACUGACGCAUCAGGCCACGCACGCAUUCCGAGUCUGGGGUCAGCUGUGACACAUGAAUAAUACAGAACACUGGUAAAGUCCCUGUAACAGUACAACUGCACGUUCUUAUGUUAGUAGAACCUAAACUUUAAAGGGGAACAUUAUCACCAGACCUGCAGUGGGGCAAAAAAGUAUUUAGUCAGCCAGCGAUUGUGCAAGUUCUCCCACUUAAAAUGAUGACAGAGGUCUGUAGUUUUCAUCAUAGGUACACUUCAACUGUGAGAGACAGAAUGUGGAAUAAAUCCAGGAAUUCACAUUGUAGGAAUUUUAAAGAAUGUAUUUGGUGGAAAAUAAGUAUUUGGUCAACCAUUCAAAGUUCUCACUGAUGGAAGGAGGUUUUAGCUCAAAAUCUCACGAUACAUGGCCCCAUUCAUUCUUUCCUUAACACGGAUCAAUCGUCCUGUCCCCUUAGCAGAAAAACAGCCCCAAAGCAUGAUGUUUCCACCCCCAUGCUUCACAGUAGGUUUGGUGUUCUUGGGAUGCAACUCAGUAUUCUUCUUCCUCCAAACGCGACGAGUUUAGUUUAUACCAAAAAGUUUUAUUUUGGUUUCAUCUGACCACAUGACAUUCUCCCAAUCCUCUGCUGUAUCAUCCAUGUAUCCAUUUUGGUAUAAACUCAACUCGUCGUGUUUGGAGGAAGAAGAAGCCAUGUAUGAUGAUACCUUGUAUGAUGCCAUGUAUGAUGAUACCUUGUAUGAUGCCAUGUAUUAUGAUGCCUUGUAUGAUAAUGCCAUGUAUGAUAAUACCUUGUAUGAUAUGUGUGAUGAUACCAUGUAUGAAGAUACCACAUAUGAUGAUACCAUGUAUGAAGAUACCACAUAUGAUGAUAUCAUGUAUAUAGAUACCACAUAUGAUGAUACCAUGUAUGAAGACACCACAUAUGAUACUAUCAUGUAUGAUGACAUAUGAUGAUAUCAUGUAUGAUGAUCCAAUGUAUGAUACUACCAUGUAUGAUGCCAUGUCUGAUGAUACCUUGUAUGAUUCCAUGUAUGAUGAUGCCUUGUAUGAUGAUGCCUUGUAUGAUAAUACCUUGUAUGAUAUGUGUGAUGAUACCAUGUAUGAAGAUACCACAUAUGAUGAUACCAUGUAUGAAGAUACCACAUAUGAUGAUAUCAUGUAUAUAGAUACCACAUAUGAUGAUACCAUGUAUGAAGACACCACAUAUGAUACUAUCAUGUAUGAUGACAUACGAUGAUAUCAUGUAUGAUGAUCCAAUGUAUAAUACCAUGUAUGAUGAUACCAUGUAUUGAGAUACCACAUAUGAUGAUAUCAUGUAUGAUGACACCAUGUAUAAUGAUGCCAUGUAUGAUACCAUGUAUGAUGAUACCUUGUAUGAUAAUGCCAUGUAUGAUGCCUUGUAUGAUGAUGCCUUGUAUGAUGAUACAUGUAUGAUGAUGCCUUGUAUGAUAAUGCCAUGUAUGAUGCCUUGUAUGAUGAUGCCUUGUAUGAUAAUACCUUGUAUGAUAUGUGUUAUGAUACCAUGUAUGAAGAUACCACAUAUGAUGAUACCAUGUAUGAAGAUACCACAUAUGAUGAUAUCAUGUAUAUAGAUACCACAUAUGAUGAUACCAUGUAUGAAGACACCACAUAUGAUACUAUCAUGUAUGAUGACAUACGAUGAUAUCAUGUAUGAUGAUCCAAUGUAUGAUAAUACCAUGUAUGAUGAUACCAUGUAUUGAGAUCCCACAUAUAAUUAUAUCAUGUAUGAUGACGCCAUGUAUAAUGAUGGCAUGUAUGAUACCAUGUCUGAUGAUACCUUGUAUGAUAACAUGUGUGAUGAUACAUGUACGAAGAUACCACAUAUGAUGAUACCUGGUAUGAAUAUACCACAUAUGAUGAUACCAUGUAUGUAUGAAGAUACCUUAUAGGAUGAUACCAUGUAUGAUAUCCCGUGUGAUGAUACGAUGUAUGAAGAUACCAUGUGUGAUGAUACCAUGCAUGAUGAUACCAUGUGCGAUGAUACCACAUAUAAUGAUACCAUGUAUGAAGAUACCAAAUAUAAUGAUAUCAUAUAUGAUGAUGCUAUGUAUAAUGAUACCAUGAUGAUGAUGAUGUCAUGAAUGAUGAUACCAUGUAUGAAGAGCCCACAUAUGAUAUCAUGUAUGCUUAAGCCAUGUGUGAUGAUACCUUGUAUGAUGACGCCAUGUAUGAUGAUCCCACAUAUGAUGAUACCAUGUAUGAAGAUACCAUAUAUGAUGAGACCAUGUAUGAUGACACCACGUGUGAUGAUACCAUGUAUGAAGGUACCACAUAUGAUGAUAUCAUGUAUGAUGAUACCAAAUAUAAUGAUAUCAUAUAUGAUGAUGCUAUGUAUAAUGAUACCAUGAUGAUGAUGAUGUCAUGAAUGAUGAUACCAUGUAUGAAGAGCCCACAUAUGAUAUCAUGUAUGCUUAAGCCAUGUAUGAUGAUACCUUGUAUGAUAACAUGUGUGAUGAUACAUGUACGAAGAUACCACAUAUGAUGAUACCUGGUAUGAAUAUACCACAUAUGAUGAUACCAUGUAUGUAUGAAGAUACCUUAUAUGAUGAUACCAUGUAUGAUAUCCCGUGUGAUGAUACGAUGUAUGAAGAUACCAUGUGUGAUGAUACCAUGCAUGAUGAUACCAUGUGUGAUGAUACCACAUAUAAUGAUACCAUGUAUGUAGAUACCACAUAUAAUGAUAUCAUAUAUGAUGAUGCUAUGUAUAAUGAUACCAUGAUGAUGAUGAUGAUGAUGUCAUGAAUGAUGAUACCAUGUAUGAAGAGCCCACAUAUGAUAUCAUGUAUGCUUAAGCCAUGUAUGAUGAUACCUUGUAUGAUGACGCCAUGAUGAUGAUCCCACAUAUGAUGAUACCAUGUAUGAAGAUACUACAUAUGAUGAGACCAUGUAUGAUGAUAACACGUGUGAUGAUACCAUGUAUGAAGGUACCACAUAUGAUGAUAUCAUGUAUGAUGAUACCACAAAUAAUGAUAUCAUAUAUGAUGAUGCUAUGUAUAAAGAUACCAUGAUGAUGAUGAUGUCAUGAAUGAUGAUACCAUGUAUGAAGAGCCCACAUAUGAUAUCAUGUAUGCUUAAGCCAUGUAUGAUGAUACCUUGUAUGAUGACGCCAUGUAUGAUGAUCCCACAUAUGAUGAUACCAUGUAUGAAGAUACCACAUAUGAUAAUACCAUGUAUGAUGAUACAUGUAUGAUGAUACUUUGUAUGAUAACAUGUUUGAUGAUACAUGUAUGAAGAUACAACAUAUGAUGAUACCUUGUGUGAAUAUACCACGUAUGAUGAUACCAUGUAUGAAGACACCAUGUAUGAUGAUACCACAUAUAAUACCAUGUAUGAAGAUACCACAUAUGAUGAUGUCAUGUAUGAUGGUGCCAUCUAUAAUGACACGUCGUAUGAUAUCAUGUAUGAUGAUGUCAUGCAUGAUGAUACCCUGUAUGAUACCAUGUAUGAUGAUGCCAUGUAUGAUGAUACCUUGUAUGAUACCAUGUAUGAUGAUGCCAUGUAUGAUGAUACCUUGUAUGAUACCAUGUAUGAUGAUGCCAUCCAUGUAUGAUGAUACCAUGUAUGAUGAUGCCAUGUAUGAUGAUACCAUGUAUGAAGAUACCACUUAUGAUAUCAUGUAUGACAAUACCUUGUAUGACACCAUGUAUAAUGACGCUAUGUAUGAUGAGACCACUUAUGAUGAUACCACGUAGGAUGAUACCAUGUAUGAAAUUACCACACAUGAAGAUACCGCAUAUGAUGAUAUCAUGUAUGAUGAUACAUUAUAAUACAACAUUAUACAAAUUAAAAGUCAG